rnacentral:hammerhead_ribozyme from 1 species
GCACUGCUGACGAGUCCAAAACAGGAUGAAACAGGAUGUCCGGUGC